rnacentral:rRNA from 1 species
GGUGAACGCUAGCGGUGCGCCUAACACAUGCAAGUCGAGCGGUAAAAGAAAGAAGCUUGCUUUUUUCUUUGAGAGCGGCGAACGGGUGAGUAACACGUUGGUACAUGCCCCCAAGUCAGGGAUAGCCAGAGGAAACUCUGAUUAAUACCGGAUGUGCUCUUCGGAGUAAAGAUUUAUCGCUUGGGGAGUGGCCUGCGUCCUAUCAGCUUGUUGGUGAGGUAAUAGCUCACCAAGGCUAUGACGGGUAACUGGUCUGAGAGGACGACCAGUCACAAUGAAACUGAGACACGGUUCAUACUCCUACGGGAGGCAGCAGUGAGGAAUCUUCCACAAUGGACGAAAGUCUGAUGGAGCGACACCGCGUGAAGGAUGAAGGCCUAACGGUUGUAAACUUCUUUUCUGAGGGAGCAUAAUGAGAGUACCUCAGGAAUAAGGGACGGCUAAAUACGUG